rnacentral:rRNA from 1 species
GAUGAACGCUGGCGGCGUGCUUAACACAUGCAAGUCGAACGAAGCAUUUGCGACAGAUUUUUUCGGAAUGAAGUUGCUUAUGACUGAGUGGCGGACGGGUGAGUAACGCGUGGGUAACCUGCCUUGUACUGGGGGAUAGCAGCUGGAAACGGCUGGUAAUACCGCAUAAGCGCACAAUGUUGCAUGACAUGGUGUGAAAAACUCCGGUGGUAAAGAUGGACCCGCGUCUGAUUAGCUAGUUGGUGAGAUAACAGCCCACCAAGGCGACGAUCAGUAGCCGACCUGAGAGGGUGACCGGCCACAUUGGGACUGAGACACGGCCCAGACUCCUACGGGAGGCAGCAGUGGGGAAUAUUGCACAAUGGAGGAAACUCUGAUGCAGCGACGCCGCGUGAGUGAAGAAGUAAUUCGUUAUGUAAAGCUCUAUCAGCAGGGAAGAUAGUGACGGUACCUGACUAAGAAGCUCCGGCUAAAUACGUG